AUACGUAGGUGGCAAGCGUUGUCCGGAAUUAUUGGGCGUAAAGAGCGCGUAGGCGGUUAUGCAAGUCAGGCUUAAAAGUUCGAGGCUUAACCUCGUGAUGGGAUUGAAACUGUGUAACUGGAGUAUCGGAGAGGAAAGUGGAAUUCCUAGUGUAGCGGUAAAAUGCGCAGAUAUUAGGAGGAACACCGGUGGCGAAGGCGGCUAUCUGGACAGUAACUGACGCUGAGGCGCGAAAGCACGGGGAGCAAACAGGAUUAGAUACCCUGGUAGUCCGUGCCGUAAACGAUGAAUACUAGGUGUAGGGGGUAUCGACUCCCUCUGUGCCGCAGUUAACACAUUAAGUAUUCCACCUGGGGAGUACGGCCGCAAGGUUGAAACUCAAAGGAAUUGACGGGG
rnacentral:rRNA from 1 species